GGUUAGAUCUAAUCCAGAGCAUCGUUAUGAUUGAUGCAGAUUUUUUUAUUUUCAGAUCUUAAUCACAUAUUUAAUCAUAUCAUAAAUCUUGACAAAGUAGUUUAGAUUGGAUCUUAUGCAUAUAAUGUAGAUUAAAUCGUUUAAUCUAUCAUGUUUCACUAUAAAAUUUUAAAAUUGCAUGCAUAGAACUGUCUAAUUUUUCUUCAAAUAGUAUCAGAGCCUCGUUCAAUAUGAUAUAAUUUUAUAUAUAUUUAAAUCUAAUUUUAUAUUAUUUAGAUUAUAUCUAAAUAAUUUUUAUUUUUAUAUUUGAUAUUUGAUCAGUCUAGUAUAUGUUAGAUUAGUGUUCUGAGUAGUAAAGUACUCGGAUUGGAUAAUCACCAAGCCAUCCGAUCAUAGGAGCAAGUAGAGUUACAUGACUCUCUCCUCUCAUUCAAUAGGGUACUCUUAUGGCAUGUAGGGGUGUCACUGUGAGAUCUCAUGAAGAAGAACGUAAAAGAAAGAACUUUUUUUUCUGUAAAAUCCU
rnacentral:lncRNA from 1 species